UAUAUGUAUGUAUAUAUAUCCAUCCUCCAAAGCACAAACAAAACAUUGUGUGUGUGGCAAAGUCAAUUAGGACAUCAAACAAAGUAGAAGGCAAAGAUAACAUUACAAAGAUGUAGUAGAACUAGUAUGACAAAUGGAAUAGGUUAAACACACCUACUGUAAGAAAAACUUAUUCAGCAAUGAUCUCAUUCAUCAGAUUGUGCUAGCUGGGAAUGUAAUGAGAGAGAAAUUCUCUUUUCUGAUUGAGUUUGAUGAAAUCAAUCAUAAAAUAUAAACCUUCGGGCAUCUGGGUGGCUCAGUCUGUUAAGCGUCCAACUCUUGAUCUCUGCUCAGGCAUGAUCUCAUGGUUCUUGGGAUUGAACCCCGCAUCAGGCUCUGUGCUUGGGAUUCUCUCUCCCUCUCUCUCUGCUCCUCCCCCACUCACUCUGUCUCUCAAAGUAAAUUAAAAAAAAUUUUUUAAGUAGUUUAAAAUAAAAAAUAAGCCUUGUGCAAUGGGAAAUAAAGGGUGUUGUGUAGCACAUCUCACAGUCCACAAUUGUUAGCCCAGCAUAGAGGAGGAAGAGCAUUUUUAUAAAGGAACAAGUGUGAAGGCUCAGGGGUAAGAGGGGAUGAUGAUUUUACUGAAAUUCAGUAGAGCUGAAGGGUAGUGCUUCUUGUUUAUGUGUAGUGUCUCUGUGUGUCUUUUCUUGGCGAUAGAAAUCCAAGUGAGAGAAUUCUAAUAAGACUAACUCAAAUUGACUAGAUCAAGUUAAAAAUGGAAAUAUUACCUCCACAAAAGGUUUGGAAUUAGGUUGACUUUAUAUGGAAAUGAUUUCAAACUUCCUAGGAACUGAUCAUUCCCAUGAUACGUGAAUUAAAGUAACUACUGAAAACUAUUUUCUUUUAAGCUACUAUAAACCAGAUAACCUUAGGAAAUUGCAAAAAGUAAAUGAAAUCAUAUGUGUAAGAUUAAUGCAGCAUCCUAGAGGUAGCAGUAGCCUAGUAAAUGUUCUCACCAACUGUAAUUGUGGAUUUCUUCAUUUCUCCUUUGAGUCCUGUCAACGUUUACUUCUUGUAUUUGAAGAUCUUUUUAUUAGACACACACAUACUUAGGAUGUUUAUGUUUUUCUAAUGACUUGAUCUUUUAAUCAUAAUAAAAUAGUCCUCUUUAUCUCUCAGAAUGCUGUCUUGAAGUCUACUUUAGUCAUAGUAAUAUAGCUACAUCAGCUUUUUAAAGCUUACAUUAGCAUGGUACAUAUAUUGCCACUCUUUCAAUUUCAACCUAUUUGUGUUUUUAUAUCUAAAGUGAGUCUCUUGUAGACAACAUAUAGUUGUGUCUUACUUUUUUAUCUAGUCCAAUAAGUUCUGCCUUUUAUAAAUAUGUUACACGAAUUAUCUAAUUACUGAUAUGUUUGAACUUUGCCUUGUUUUCUGUUCCUCUGUUGCUUCUUUCCUGCUCUUUUUGUGUUUUUAAAAAUGUUUUUAAUAUUCUAUUUCUUCUGUUUACUUUUUAAUCUAUCCUUUUUUUGCAUUUUUGUUAGUUGCUCAGACAUUAAUUACAAUAUGUGUCCUUAUUACAGUCUACUUGCAAUUAAUAUUUCAUCACUUCAUGUAAACUAUAAAACACAUACUACUGUCUCAUUUAUUACCGCCUUCUCCUUUGCACCACUUUUGUCAUAUGCUUUACUUCUCUAUAUACUAUAAACCCUACAAUAUCAUGUUACAGUUAUUCUAAAAGUCAGUAGUGCUUUUAAAGAAAUUAAGAAAAGAAAAAUGAAACAAAAAAUUUUCUACUUCAAUGCUCUUUACUAUUCUGUGGAAUAACCCAUAGACUUCUCUUUCCCAGAGUUUUGGAUAAGUUAAUGAUUGAUUAUCUGAAAAGUAAGCAAAUGUACCAAAAAAAAAAAAUAUAUUUGUUAACACCUGAGAACCAAAACAGUUCUAUAUAGGGAAUGAACCUGAGCAUACUGUGUGGCUCACCUGAGAAUGAUAUUUUUAUACCAACACGAUGAUGUAAACAGUGAACAUUGCCAUAACCAUGAAUUAUGAUUUUAUGCUCUUAAUAUUUCUUAGUGGGAAAUUAAAAAUGUCUGAAACUAAAAAGUUAAAAAUGAAGUAAAAAAAUAAUAAAUAGCCAUAAUAGCAAGUUUGGAGUUUGGAAAGGGGAAGAUAGUUCCAAAUGGAAGAUUUCACAGUUGUCAGAGUUUGACUCUGGGAAGUUGGAGUGGAGUAAAGUAGGGGACUGCUCUUUCUCCUAACAGACUUAAUUUUACUAUUUGCCUUUUUAUAUUAUGUACAUGUACUAAUCUGAUAACUAAAACAACUGUAAAUCUAGUGGGAAUAUCCCGGUGGAGAGGAAAAACAUGAGUAUAGAAGAAACAGGCUAAUGGACAAGGUAAGAUUUUCAACUACACACAUUGGUAUGAUAAUCAACAAAGUAAGUGGCCUAAAUAGAAGAAAAGGUAGAUAGUUGUUCUGCUCAAUUGAACAAGAGGAAAGGAUGAUAGGAUCAGAGUAGAUGAUGGUAGGUUUCUGUGUUUGGUGAUAGGAAACUGAAGGACAUCCUGGUUCUAUCUUCUCUAUAAAGAAGUCAGCAUGAGAAUAAAAUGGAAGCAAAGUGUCACUGCUUUUUCCUGAGGCCCAGUAGUGAUGACGAUGAGAGGACUUUUUUUUUCAUCAUUUAAAAAAUUUCCAUUAGUUUCCUUCGGGUUAUAUUUGUUGUUGUGUUCAUCCUUAUAUCCUGAUACUUUACUAUUUAGUUUAUUCUGUAUGUGUUUCUUUUAAUAAUUUCUCUUUUUCUUCCACUUAGUCUCAGGUUUACUCCCCUCAUAAGACUUCUGUAGUCUUGUGAAGAUGUGUUCUUUCUCUAUUCUCUGAAUAACCAAAAUAAGCUUUGUUUAUGAAUAUCUGAGGAAAAUUACAAGUGUUAAAUCUGAAGAAAAAUUAUAAAUGUCUAUGUUAUCCCCAUAAUUUCUGAAUUCCUUCUGUGCUUUGGAUAAUGUCAAAAUGUUAAAGAAGCUUGAAAUCAAAUGGGGAUGCAAAACAAAGUCUCCUGUGCAUAACUUUCUGUAUCAAAGAGCUGGUAGAUGUGCUUUGAGCCUAGAGGAAGGAUUUGGUAUGCCUGAUAGUGACUGGAGAAAGAUGCAUAGACAUUGAAGGAUACUAAGCCUGAUGAUUAGAACUUGGGUCCACUAACCACCAGUGUUUCCUGUUCUCAGACCUCGUAGAUUUUAUUGACCAACUGGGAGCUGGUGUCACUGCAGUUGAAUGCCCCAUUGCUUACCAGCUGUGUGUUGGGCAAAUUACGUAAAUUCUGAGUUUACUGCCUCAUUCCUUAAAAUGUUGAUAACUUUAUUACCUUACAGGAAUGUUGUGAGGAUUGAAUGACACAGUGGAUGUGAAUGCACCUAUCACAUCUGACAUACAUACAAGCAUAUACUUGGCUACAGAAGGAAGUAGCUAUUAUCGCUCACUGUCACCAUCAAUUAAUCAAUCAGCAGUUAAACCAAACACUAGCUCAUCUAAAUUUAAGGAAACUUGCUCUUUAGAGAAUCAAGUUUUCAUCCUUUCAAUGAGGAAAUUAGCGAUCAGUUUUAAGAUUCUGAUGUAGGAAGCAUGAAAACAAAAUGGAGAAAGAUGAGGCUAAUGUGGAAGGUUAGGGAAAGGGAGAGAGGAGAUAGAGUAAGAGACAGAAGAGUAGGAGAGCAAUUAUAGAACAAAGAUGCUGAAGUCUUAACUUGGGUUUAUGGUCAUGAGCAUAGAUGUAGGGGCAGACCCAAUAUUUCCAAACUGUGCUCACGUGACCAGUGUGUAAAUGCGGGUUCAUUAUGAACUAAUAAAGCUUCAGCUUCAAAGUUCCCUCACUUGCACAAGUGAGCUCCUUCCAGGGCUCUGGGAAAAAUUCUGGUAAUGUGAUUGCAUAUUCAUGUGUUUUCAUAAAAUCUGCAAAAGAUUGGACUGCAAUUGGUUAAGACAGUUUUCUUUCACUUCAGCUUUCUCUGUCACUCUUCCCAUCAUAUUGGCCAGGGGAGGGGGGUGGAAAUGGGGAUGGAUGGCCACAGGCAUUUUGAGGCUCCUACCAAGGAAAGAUGAGUUGGGAAUACAUUUAGCUUAUUUUGUGGGAUGAGUAUUUGUGGGUCACAAAUGCUCAUGUUCAGUUAAGUUAUUGUUAGCUGUUCUGUUAGGAAUGGUUUCCAGGAAUAAUCCUACUGCCCACUAUGCAAUAUCCCUAAAAACCUGUAAAAAAAAAAAAAAAAAUGCACAGGGCCAUGUGUUGUCUCAUGGUAUAAACAUGUCCUACUGCACCUGGCAUUGAAGUAAUGUGUAAUGGAGGAGAAACAAUGUUUAAAAAGUAUGGAGCCAAAUGGCUUGUGCAAAAGUCUAGCCUUCAGAUAUGUCCAUUUUCAAGAGGCGAAUUUAGUUCUCAUUAAUACCUCGAAAAAAGUUGUGUUAAGAAUAUACUCAAUAAUGCACCAUAUAUAAUUAUCAGUGCAUGAUAAUUUUUUUCUUGAUGGAAUUGUGUGAAAUUUAUCAGAAUGUCUGUAUGUAAGGCACAAAACCUGUGGUAGUAUUGAAGAUGCGGUACAACUGGGUGUGAAGUCACGUUUUAUGCAUCCCAAUAUACCACAUCUCAUUACCAAUGAAGUUGUGAAGCUGACAUUUUUUUAAAAAGUAUCAGUACUGUAACAAAUUUCAUCAGCCAUGUUUCAGGCUGAAUUAUGUUUCUGUUACCUCAUUAGAAAGACUAUAUUACAAAAUUGUCAAUAUGAAGAAGUAUGCAAAGGUUAUGCAAACUGUAAAGAAAAAGAAGUAUAGUGUAUGUCAGGCAAUUAGUAAAAAUAUUGUGCUUAUGUUGAUUUUGUGAUGUUUAUAUCAGCUUUGAAAAGUUUUUAAUUUAUUGUAAUUUCUUUUCUCACUCAAAAUAAAUAUUCGCGUUUCUAAAAAAAAAAAAUGUAGUAAUAAUUUAUUCUUUUUUUCUCUUAACCCCCCAACCAAAUUGUAUGAACCUCAAACCUUAUAAAAGUUGACCCUGCCUGGACAGUGAGAUAAUGCAGGAUAGAAUAGUUUUUCUAGAAAGGGACAUUAGUUCACUCCUAACGCUGCUGAGAGCUUCCAGUUAAUCACUAAACUGGAAUGAAUCAUACCACAGACGGGGCUACUUUCAGAAAUUGACUUCUUUUUUUUUAGUACCUAGCUACGGUCUCUUAAUUCUCCGAAAUGGAUCAGCUGCAUCCUAGAGCAGAUGCUGGCUAAAGCCUUGGGGCAUCCUUGCACUUAAUGACUUUCUCUUUCAAAUUAGCAUGAGACCUCUCAAGCCUUGUUUCCUCCCAGCAAAAUGGGGCAGCCAGGACACAGGAUCUAGAGAUACCAAAAGAAAAGUUUAUGAUGUUCUUUCUGUUAUUGCUCUAAGUAAAGAGUUUAUCUUAAUUUCUUUCCUUUUUUUUUUUUUUUUUAAAUGAAGGAUAAACCCUAGGAAACCUCUUUAUGUCUUACAAAUUGGGCUUGAAUUGUUUCUGAGAUAAAACCAGGUGCUCUUUGUUACAGUGAUUACAAAUGAAAUAUUAAGAUUGUGGAUAUUAAAUUUGACUUUCAUCUUUAUCAAGGAUGAAAUCGUCAGUCUUUUUAAUAAGAAGAUCUAUGCCCUGGUUUCUCAAUUCUCAAAACAAGCAUGUUGAACCAACUUCCUGAGCUGGAAGCCAUGGGAAUGAAAAGACAGCAGAGCAGACAUGAAGCUGCUGCAUUUUGCUAAUCUGUAAAUUAAAUGAUCCUCACAUGGUCUAUCUUCCUUCUGCCUGGAUCAGACAUCUGCUUGUUUGUGGUUUCCAAUCAGGCAGUGUUUCAUUCCUCCCCUUCCCCUCCAAAACAUUUCUUUAUUUUCAUAUUUAUAGAAGGGGCUUUACAUAAUGCUAUAUUUAUUCCUUUUGUACCUCCUAGUGGAAUGAAAUCUCUGUAUCUCAUCUACAUUUAAGUUUAGCAACUUCCUGUUUUCUUGGUCAAUGUUUAUAUCUCUUAGGAUUUUGAGUUUGUUUUGUGGAAAAGAUGCUGAGAACCUCUUUCCAAAGUUGUCUCAGUUAUUAAGUGACCUUCUACUUAGAGUCUUCAGACAUAGAGUUUUUGCUGAUACUCUCCUACUCCUUUUCCCUCCAUUUCUCUAUUCUUUCUUCCUCUCCUUGGUCCCUCCCCCUUGAUUUCAUUAUCAUUCAGGGAAGACUGGGGAGAGCAAGAAGUUACUUGCUGGUUCUCAUACUCUCUAUGGCAGCUGAAGGGGACUCGGUGCACCUUGACAAGAUGACUACUGAUGGCGUCACUCGAGAGAACAGUUUCUGCCUAGAAACCAUUUGGAUCUCAGCCUGGAUUGCAACCAUUGGUGAAAUCAGAACAUCACAUAAGGAACAGACACUUUGUGAGCCACCAGUAGAAGUAAAUGAUUGUGAACUUAGAGAAAUGUUUCUUAGAGUUGUGAAAUUAAGUUUUAUCUCUCUGCUUCUGGGAGAGCUACCACUCCAAUCCUCUGUAAGAUAUUUUGAGAAAAUAUUUACUUGGUAUAAAAAACUUAAAAAACUUUGGAUUAGAAUAGAUGUCUCACCAGCCACCUGAACUCAAGGUCCAACCUCCAUUUUUUAUUUAUAUUUAAUCCACAUUUCUCACUUAGUCCACAGUGUUCUCCUUAAUAAUUUAUCUCUUACAUCUUUCUGUCAUUAUUCCAACCGCAAGUGAAACAUCUCUAGAGAUCCAAGUGGCAACAAAAAUUUUGUGUAUAUCUUUUUUAAAAUUUUUAAAAAGUUUAUUUAUCUAGAGAGAGAGAGAGACAGAGAAACCGCGUGCAUGAGCAGAGAAGAGGCAGAGAGAGAGACAGAGAGAGAGAAUCCCAAGCAGGCUCUGGGCUGUCAGCACAGAGCCCAAUAGGGAGCUCAAACUCACAAACUGUGAGAUCAUGACCUGAGCCAAAACCAAGUGUCAAACACUUAACCGAGCCACCCAAGUGCCCCAAUUUUGUGGAUAUCUUAACUCUGAUUACAGUAUACUCACUGACCUUCAUCAGUACCUCGUAUGUGACCAUUGAAACUCAAGGCUUAAUUUAUUUGGGCAUAUAUCACUACUAUUUACAUCUUCUAUUUCCUCUAGAUAGCGAAGAUCACUAGCUGUUUAAACUACAAUUGUUUUUGUAUUACAUCUUUUAUAAAUUUAAUAUUAUAGUCAAAAAUAUUUUAAAGCAUGCACAAAAAUUAAGAAAAGAGCAAGAGAAAACAUGACAAUCACUAAAUGCACCCCUAUUUUUGAGACACUAGUUAGCCAAGGCAAAAAGAGAAAUCUGAUGAAUUAACAUUAUCCCAUAAAAGGAAAUGUACCAGUUCCUCAGAUGAUGUCUUUUAAAUGUCAACUUCUAAUGUAAUUGAUCAGAUUACAACAUUCCAAUAAUAUCAGCAUCUCCCAUGUUCUUCAAGACUCUCAGUUAUAUGCAAUAUCUGUAAAAUGGCAUAGUAAUAGUAGCUAUUAGAAUUCUCCAUUUUUGUAGGUCAAAAUAGUUAAAUAUGGCCAAUUUCAUAUGGCAUAAAAUCAUAUCUCAUUAGUUUGUUAAGUUUAGUAAUAUAGGGAAAAAUUGUUCCCAUCUUUAUCUGCAUCCAAACCCAUUGCUCCUUUUAAUGGUAAUUGUGUCUUCAUUCAGAAUAUCUUUACUUCAGUAUAAGCCAAAAAAUACAUACUCUUUAUUUUUCCUUUUUUU